CCUACGAGUGGCAGCAGUAGGGAAUGUUCGGCAAUGGGGGGAACCCUGACCGAGCAACGCCGCGUGAAGGAAGAAGGAAUUCGUUCUGUAAACUUCUGUUAUAAAGGAAGAAAGACGGUUGGAGGAAAUGACAUCCGAGUGACGGUACUUUAUGAGAAAGCCACGGCUAACUCCGUGCCAGCAGCCGCGGUAAUACGUAGGGGGCAAGCGUUAUUCGGAAUUAUUGGGCGUAAAGAAGGAGCAGGCGGCAGCAAAGGUAUGUGGUGAAAGACUGAAGCUAAACUUCAGUAAGCCAUAGAAACCGGGCAGCUAGAGUGCAGGAGAGGGUCGUGGAAUUCCAUGUGUAGCGGUGAAAUGCGUAGAUAUAUGGAGGAACACCGGUGGCGAAGGCGACGAUCUGGCCUGCAACUGACGCUCAGUCCCGAAAGCGUGGGGAGCAAAUAGGAUUAGAUACCCGGGUAGUC
rnacentral:rRNA from 1 species